rnacentral:rRNA from 1 species
UAACUUGAGAGUUUGAUCCUGGCUCAGGACGAACGCUGGCGGCAUGCCUAACACAUGCAAGUCGAACGAGAAAGUUCUUUCGGGAGCGA